GACGUGAGUGGACUGUGUGCCCUCAAUGCCUCCGCCCUCUCACGGCGGGAGCAGGGGUUCGAUUCCCCUUGGCGUACC
rnacentral:tRNA from 1 species